rnacentral:lncRNA from 1 species
ACUGGGCUUCGCUGAUGACCUUGCCUUCUUCACUGAGCAUCACCUGUCGUGACUUCUUAGAGAGAAACGGAUCAAAGAACUUCUUGUGAUAUUCAGGUAGCUUCUUGCUGUUUCAGUGGACUCUGCCCAGUUGGCAGAGUGUUGAGGUUUCUUCUGGAGCUGGCUGCUGUUGCUGCUGAUUUGUGUGGCCUGAACUGCUGAUAUCCUGACAACGAAGAUUGGAAUCAACGGAGAUUGGAACUAUUUCUAAACAGACCCACGUCCCCCUUUGCCCUAUUAACCUUUCCUUUCUACUACCUCCGGUGGGUGAUGGGUGAGAAGGGAAGUUAAAGCAUUUAAGAACCCUUAUUAAAGUAGGUUUUGAAAACUCUAAACCUACAGCUCAGUGACUCUAUUGCAGAUCUGUGUAACUCAUGACGUUCUAACCAAAGCUGCACAAUGAUUGUUCCUAGGAGAUAUCAGAGACAAGAGAGGUUGGAGAUUAACAAAGGCACUGAUGGUCUUCUGCAUACCACAGCCAAAUAUGACUCGGAGAGAGACCCAGGGAACAAUUCCUGUUCCUGCAAGUUUAGAUGGGAUUCUGGGACUUCAGGGUCAUGCUCGCAAGUCAUGUUAGUAAGCAUGUUAGACCUGACUGUGGCUCGUCCAUGCUGGUGGCUCACUGUACCAGCCCUAGAGGUCAAGAGGCUGCAUGUGUGAGCCUGCCUGUGUCUGAUCUCUUCCUCUUACACAGAAAGCUUCUUAAACAUGAGAAGACAGUGGCGCACCGAGGAGAGCAGACUGAGAUGAACCUGAGUGGGAAAUGGGGUUUUCCAAAAGAGUCACAGAGCUGUACACCAGGGGAACAAGGAGUGGUAGAGAGUGGGCAGGCCAGAGAGUCAAGGUUAACACAUUUAGAACAUAAAUAAGUUUUCUUAAGAUAUAAUUUCCUCAAUGAUACUUCUUACGUUAAAGAAAUAUCAUCCUUCCAUCAAGGAUGUGUGGCCAGGUCCCAAGUCAAUG